GGCGGCGUGCUUAACACAUGCAAGUCACGGGGGGGUAGCAAUACCUAACCGGCGAACGGGUGCGUAACACGUGAGCAACCUGCCGAUCUGAGGGGGAUAGCCGGCCCAACGGCCGGGUAAUACCGCAUACGUUCUUCUGGUCUCAUGACUGGGAGAAGAAACCUCCGGGGCAGAUCGAGGGGCUCGCGGCCUAUCAGCUAGUUGGCGGUGUAAUGGACCACCAAGGCGACGACGGGUAGCUGGUCUGAGAGGAUGGCCAGCCACAUUGGGACUGAGAGACGGCCCAGACUCCUACGGGAGGCAGCAGUGGGGAAUCUUGCGCAAUGGCCGAAAGGCUGACGCAGCGACGCCGCGUGUGGGAUGAAGCAUUUCGGUGUGUAAACCACUGUUGCCCGGGACGAACAUCUGGUUUCGACCACACUGACGGUACCGGGUGAGGAAGCACCGGCUAACUCCGUGCCAGCAGCCGCGGUAAUACGG
rnacentral:rRNA from 1 species